UACGUAGAAGGCAAACGUUAUUCGGAUUUACUGGGCGUAAAGCGGGCGUAGACGGUUUGUUAAGUCGGAUGUGAAAUCUCCUAACUCAAUUGGGAGAGGUCAUUCGAUACUAGGAGACUUGAGGAUAGCAGAGGAAGGCGGAACUCCCGAAGUAGCGGUGAUAUGCGUAGAUAUCGGGAGGAACACCAGUGGCGAAGGCGGCCUUCUAGGCUAUUCCUGACGUUGAGGCCCAAAAGCGUGGGGAGCGAAACGGAUUAGAUACCCCUGUA
rnacentral:rRNA from 1 species